UUACAGACACACUGGGAACACUGGGAACUGGUCCUUUAAGCCAACAGAGACAUCAGGACUUCCUGUGCUGCAACUGGAUUUACUGCAGAGUGACACACACAUCAAGAACGUACAGACAGGAGGUUUCAAAGCAUGAUAUCACUGACCUGAGGGUGUGUGUGUGUGCGUGAACAUGUCCUGUUAUAUAAUGGUCGUCGUGGUCGCGGCCGGCCGGCUUUGUUCUGCUGAAGUGUCCUCGAGCAACACGCUGAACCCCCCCCAUGUCCAGGGGUUAAACUGGGAUUUGUUAUGUGG